GAUUACAUUUUGGGACUAAACAAUAUUCCAGGUAUCCCCCAGACACUGUCUAUCACAUCUGAUUUUUGAUUUCUUAUCUCUCUGUGCUGUUACAUAACCUGCUCCAUGCUUCUGAUUACCCAAAUAUCAAUAACCUGUUAUUAUUCAGUCACUGACAGUAUUGUCACGGUAUUGCCCAAAAUUAAAUAUAACACACAAACAUGAACAGAUUCCAAUGAAUCUUUUUUAUUUCAUCUUUAUAUAUUCACAGAGUGCUCUGAAACUCCAGAUUUAACAACAGAAGAAUGUAUUAAUUGGGUUGCAAGAAUAAAUUAUGAUUACCGUUAACAGCCCAGUGUGCAAUUGUACUCAACAUUAUACUCACAAGAGGCGAUAUACUCACUACACAGACCUAAAUGAAAUCUUUCAGCCAACUGUUCUGGUAAAAAUAUAAAUAAUAAAUAAACAAGUCAAUAAAUGAAUCAGUUUUAAUAGUUCUGGACUGCUGUAUUUCAUCAUCUUAAGCACCAUGACACAUAGACUAGGAUAAGAGGUUUGGAGGAUAGAUGGAAGGAAGGAAGGAUUUCUUUAACCGUUAGUCUCCAGAGACGCCGGACUCAGCAACAGAGUACUGCUGCGUGUGCAGGGUUCAUGCAUGCUGCUUUACAAGGAGCCUUCUCAUGAAAACCUUCUGUUUUCACCUGGAUAUAAUCAAAAAGUCUUCAAUAAGUGUCCAAGCAGCAUCACCAAACACUCAUAGAGCUGGUCUUUUACCAGCAGCAGUAAAUCAGAUAUUACACGAGAAUCACAGCAGUUCGUGGGUGACGAUGUUCUGAUAAUUGAUAUUUCGGCGACUGUAUAUUUAUAGUUCCUAACUCUAUCGUACGUGAUUGAAUCAUGCUGUUUUGACAGUGCCAACCUAUUAGAGCUUAAAAUCUGUAUGUAACUUUAAAAUGUGCUGAAAGACUAAACAAAACAAAAUACUCAUGACACUACAAUAAUGAUGUGUGUGUAUAUAUUACCUAAACAACAUAAAAUCAAAUAUAAAAAACGCCAAUGUACAUAAAUAAAAUAAUAAUAACAAUAAAUAAUAAUACUUUU
ensembl:lncRNA